UUUAAAGUCUAACCUGCCCAAUGAGGAAUUGAAUGGCCGCGGUAAUUUGACCGUGCAAAGGUAGCAUAAUCAUUAGUUUUUUAAUUGAAAGCUGGAAUGAAUGGUUGGACGAGAAAAUAACUGUCUCAAUUUAAAUUUAGUUAGAAUUUUAUUUAUAAGUAAAAAAGCUUAUAUAAUUUUAAAAGACGAGAAGACCCUAUAGAGUUUAAUAGCUUUUUAUAUUAAAUAAGUUUAGAAUAUUUAUUUUUUAUAUAUAAAAGGUUAUUUUGCUGGGGCAGCAAAAAAAUUAAAUUAACUUUUUUUAUUUAAAACCAUUGAUUUAUGAUUUAAUGAUCCAUUUUUUAUGAUUAUAAGAUUAAAUUACCUUAGGGAUAACAGCGUAAUUUUUUUUUAGAGUUCUAAUCGAAAAAAGAGUUUGCGACCUCGAUGUUGGAUUAAAAUUAACUUUUGGUGUAGGGGCUAAAAGGUUAGGUCUGUUCGACCUUUAAAAUUUUACAUGAUCUGAGUUUAAACCGGCGUGAGCCAGGUUGGUUUCUAUCUUUAAAUAAGUUGAAUAUUUUAGUACGAAAGGAUUAAAUAUUUUUAAAAUUUAAUAUAAUAUGAAUAGGAUUAUU
rnacentral:rRNA from 1 species